rnacentral:tRNA from 1 species
GUUUUGUUAGUUUAUAUUAAAAUGUGGUUUUGAAGAGACCAAGAAUUUUAUGACGCU